rnacentral:rRNA from 1 species
UACGUAGGGUGCGAGCGUUAAUCGGAAUUACUGGGCGUAAAGUGUGCGUAGGCGGCCAAGCAAGUCGCGUGUGAAAGCCCCGGGCUUAACUUGGGAAUUGCGCUCGAAACUACUUUGCUGGAGUGUGGCAGAGGAAGGUGGAAUUCCACGUGUAGCGGUGAAAUGCGUAGAGAUGUGGAGGAACACCAAUGGCGAAGGCAGCCUUCUGGGCCAACACUGACGCUCAUGCACGAAAGCGUGGGGAGCAAACAGG